AGUGAACGCCGGCGGCAUGCUUAACACAUGCAAGUCGCGCGCCUCGCAAGGGGAGCGGCGGACGGGUGAGUAACGCGUAGGAAUGUGUCCAGAGGUGGGGGACAACCCCGGGAAACUGGGGCUAAUACCGCAUAUGUCCUGAGGGACAAAGCAGUAAUGCGCCUUUGGAGCAGCCUGCGUCCGAUUAGGUAGUUGGUGGGGUAAUGGCCUACCAAGCCUGCGAUCGGUAGCUGGUCUGAGAGGAUGAUCAGCCACACUGGGACUGAGACACGGCCCAGACUCCUACGGGAGGCAGCAGUGGGGAAUAUUGGACAAUGGGCGCAAGCCUGAUCCAGCAAUGCCGCGUGGGUGAAGAAGGUCUUCGGAUCGUAAAGCCCUUUCGACAGGGACGAUGAUGACGGUACCUGUAGAAGAAGCCCCGGCUAACUUCGUGCCAGCCGCCGCCGUAA
rnacentral:rRNA from 1 species